CGGGAAAUCCCCAGGAAAAGUGAGAAAAAUAACAAAAAAGUGAUUUCGUGUACAAACAGUGGCAACUUAGAAUAAGUAAAGUGACAAAUAAGUGAUGACGGCACUUGCAAUGACAUCGGAUAUUCUAAUUCCAAAUAUUACCAAAGUUAACAUCAGGGAUAGUCAAGAUGCGUUAAUAGAAUCAGUUUAUAGAAUAUCAUCCGAGAUUCUACAUCAUAGAUGGCUUCAUAAACAAACUUGGUAUUUUGGAGCUAUGACCCGGCAGGAUGCAACGGAUCUGCUCAUGGCGGAGAGAGAAGGCGGAGUAUUUCUAGUAAGGGAUUCAUCCAGUAUUGUUGGAGACUAUGUGCUGUGUGUGAAAGAGGACUCCAAGGUGUCUCAUUAUAUCAUCAAUAAAAUACAACAAGGUGAUCAGAUCAGAUAUAGAAUAGGAUUGUAUUUAGGCGAUCAGAUCAGAUAUAGAAUAGGAGAUCAAAUGUUCACAGAUUUACCCGCCUUAUUAAAUUUUUAUAAGCUUCACUACUUGGACACGACGCCAUUAAUAAGACCAGCUCCUAAACGAGUAGAGAAGGUUUUGGGAAAGUAUGAUUUCGAAGGCAGUGACCCAGACGAUCUACCGUUCAAGAAAGGUGAAAUAUUGACCGUGGUUUCUAAAGAUGAAGAGCAGUGGUGGACUGCUAGAAAUUCCCUUGGUCAGACCGGAUCAAUACCUGUACCUUAUGUGACAAAAGUUAAUGAGAAUUCAGUAUCUAGUAACGGGCCUGUACAUACUAAUCCAGAAAAUACAAACAAACCUAGGCAUACAAACAUUCAGCGAAGUUUGCCAGCGUAUGCUCGAGUCAAGCAGAGUAGAGUUCCGAAUGCCUAUGAUAAAACUGCGUUAAGAUUGGAGGUUGGUGACAUUGUCAAAGUUACAAAGAUGUCGAUUAACGGACAGUGGGAAGGAGAACUCAACGGGAAAAUUGGGCACUUUCCCUUUACACAUGUAGAGUUUAUUGAUAGCAGCGAGUCAGGGAUGGAUGACGGGUCUAACUGACAUUACAACUAGGGUUGGAGACCUAGCCAACCCUGCAUUCUCACUUCUCAACAAUCCGCCAUCUUGAAUCCAAUUCUUAAUCUUAGAUCUAAAUUGUAAUCUUGGAUCCAAUUCUUAAUCUUCGAUCUAAAUUGUUAUCUCUGAUCCAAGCCUUAAUUUUAGAUCUAAAUUUUCAUCUUGGAUCCAAUUCUUAAUCUUGGAUCUAAAUUUUCAUCUUAAUGUUGGACUCCAACCACACAAGAAUAAAGUGCUAAACACUGAACAAAGUGAAUAAAAAACUAGAGUUGGUUCUUGAACAAAUAAUUCAUUUUUUCAAACUCAAUCUAAGUCAUAAAUAUCGUGAUGUCCCUCCUCCUUCUACAAAAUCUAUGUAUAAAAUGUAAAAAUUAUUUUGAGAAAAAUCUGAUUUUUUAUUGUUCUCUGUUACUUGUAGCUUUUAAAAUAAUCAAAAGUUAAUCAUGCUUCAACUUAUUAUUUUUAUAAAUGUCAUGAAUUAUUUACUAAGCUUCCACUAGGCUUAAUAUCAUCUUACUUAUGAGAAACUAUUUUCAAAUUUUCACUCCAAUUUUAUCAAAAAUAUCUUGUAUAAAAUUCAAUGAAUUUAAUAGAAUUAAAAUUUUUAUUUGUGAAGUUUAGUACAAACAUGUUACUCAAAGAAUUAGUUUAAAUUGUAAUAAUAAUGAAAUAAUUCUGUUCUGAAACAUAAAAAUUAUAAAAUUUUCUUUAUGUUUUACUUUAAAUUUGUGUAAAUGGGCAUGUUGCUAAAUUGAUAGACUAAAAAAUAAACUUACAAUUCAGAAUUAAUACAUAAAAUUUAAAUUAUGCCUUUUUCUUUUUGUUUAAAAGCUGAAAAAAAUGUUAUUAAAUAAUAUUUCGAAAAGAAACAAAGGGGGAUGAAAAACACCCCCAUAUCGUGUUAAGGUUAAAUGUCGUAUUCAUGUUCCACAGAAUUCUGGAUCACACUGUAUGAAACUGACCUAACAGGAUGCCAACACCUCCCUCCCCCGUGUUUAUUAGAAGUUUAAAUUUAUAGACAUUACAGAUAGAACACUAAAUACGACAUCUAGUGUUCAAUCUAUAUUAUUAUUAAUCUAUGUUUAAAUCUAAAACUGGUUCUUUUUCUAGCUCAAUGUUGUUAAACCCCUUUUGUUAUUUUUUAGCUAAUGAAUAAAUGUGAUUUAAUAAUACUGCUGGGAAUAAAUUGAUGUAUUUAA
rnacentral:misc_RNA from 1 species